rnacentral:rRNA from 1 species
UAAUACGAAGGGCCCGAGCGUUGCGCGGAAUCACUGGGCUUAAAGCGUACGCAGGCGGGCGCGCAGGCGUUUUGUGAAAGCCCUCGGCUCAACCGAGGAACUGCUUGACGAACCGCGCGUCUCGAGGCAGGUAGGGGCUGUCGGAACGAUAGGUGGAGUGGUGAAAUGCGUUGAUAUCUAUCGGAACGCCGAAGGAGAAAUCAGGCAGCUGGGCCUGUUCUGACGCUGAGGUACGAAAGCGUGGGGAGCGAACGGGAUUAGAUACCCCGGUAGUCCACGCUGUAAACGAUGUGCACUAGAUCGAGGGGGUUCUGACACCGCUCUCGGUCGAAGCGAAAGUGUUAAGUGCACCGCCUGGGGAGUACGGUCGCAAGGCUA